AUCAAAUCUCUUCUUUUCACUAGCCAUGGUCUCUUGAAGCUCUGCUGUCAGCUUUGCGAUCUUCUCUUCCAUAGACGAUAUAGACGAUAUAGCCGAACUAUCAAUCGUCUCGUCUUGGGCGGAAGUCCCUAUACCUUGCAAUCCAGUCCUGUAGCAUCGAAACGAUUUAUCUGAAAGGCCGUAUGUUAUCCCCUUUCUAGGACCACCGACAAUAUCAAACCAUAUCAUCUUCUCUUCUUCGUCUGAAAUGGGCGGUCGCUCGCCUUGCUCAUUCGUUGGCAAGCUCUGAGUGUACUCCUCCAAAUUGAUCUUGUCGCGAUCCUUUAUUUAGAAGAUAGAAAAUUAGUAAUUAUAUAAUAUUGUAAACAUUUAUAAUAGUUAUGAAACUUACAUGUGUAGUCUCUGCCCGAUCCUCCACCCAUCUAGUUGGAUCUUCGGUGCUUUCUUCUUUCGGAUGUGAGUCUCCAUGAAGAUCUCAUCAUGACUCAUCUUCCUCCCCAAUUUUUUCCCUACAAAUAUCGUGUUAACAAAAGUUGUAGCUAUACUGGCA
rnacentral:lncRNA from 1 species